GGCUCCGUAGUGUAAGUGGCUAUCACAGCGGAUUCUGAUUGAUGGCGUUCGCGUCAUGAGUUCAUCUUCCGCUAAUCUGGGUUCGAGUCCCAGCGGGGCCU